rnacentral:rRNA from 1 species
GACGAACGCUGGCGGCGUGCUUAACACAUGCAAGUCGAACGGAACGGCCCUGCUUUUGUGCGGUGCUCGAGUGGCGAACGGGUGAGCAACACGUGAGUAACCUGCACCUGCCUGUGGGGUAACUUCAGGCAAGUGAGGCUAAUACCGCCUAGGAGCUACUGCCGCUUGGUGGGGGUUGGUAAGUUUCGGUGGUUGGGGGUGGAAUGGCGGAUCAUCGGCUUGUUGGUGGGGUAGUGGCUGAGCAAGGCUUUGCCGGGUAGCCUGGCUGGUCGGGUGACCGGCCCCAUUGGGACUGGGAUACGGCCCAGACCACAACGGGAGGCAGCAGUGGGGAGGAUUGAAUAAUGGGCGGAGGCCAGAUGCAGCAACGCCGCGUGCGGGAUGAGGGGCUUCGGGUUGGGAACCGAUGCCGCCUGUGACGAGGCGUGAGUGACGGUAAUGGGUAAAGAAGCACCGGCUAACUACGUG